rnacentral:rRNA from 1 species
ACUAGCGUAUAUUAAAGUUGUUGCGGUUGAAACGCUCGUAGUUUGACUUCUGCUCCGGACCGGCGGUCCGCCUUAGCGGCGGCUACUGCCGGGUUCCGAGCUGUGUCCCCGCCGGCGCGCACGGGGUUUUUUAUGCCCUUAACCGGGUGUCCCCCUGUGGCCGGCACGUUUACUUUGAAAAAAUUAGAGUGCUCAGAGCAGGCUGGUCUUUGCUUACAGCCCGAAUGGUCGUGCAUGGAAUGAUGGAACAGGACCUCGGUUCUAUUUUGUCGGUUUUUCGGAACCCGAGGUAAUGAUUAAUAGAAGCAGACGGGGGCAUUCGUACUGCGACGCUAGAGGUGAAAUUCUUAGACCGUCGCAUGACGACCUACUGCGAAAGCAUA